ACAACAAGAAGUGAAAACACCACAAGUAAAUGAAUGAACAUUUGGUUUUCGUUCUUUUUUUGCUCUUUUUCGUUCUUUCCUUC
rnacentral:ribozyme from 1 species